AUAGGCCUUUAUGAUAUAUUGGGGUCUAAAACUGUUCUAAUCAGUUUAAUAUCUAAUAUGUGAAUUAUUCACUCAUACAAUAUUAAUUCAUUUUUUUAUUUUUUUUUAAAUGGAGUCUUUUAAAGUAGCUUGCUACCCGGGCUUUUGGGUCGCCCAUGCGUUGUACUACUGCAUGGGCCUGGCGUAGCCCAU